rnacentral:rRNA from 1 species
UACGUAGGUGGCGAGCGCUGUCCGGAUUUACUGGGCGUAAAGGGCUUGUAGGCGGUCCGUUAAGUCCGAUGUGAAAUCUCCCGGCUCAACUGGGAGAGGUCAUUGGAUACUGGCGGACUAGAGGGGGGUAGAGGAAAGCAGAAUUCCUGGUGUAGCGGUGAAAUGCGUAGAUAUCAGGAGGAAUACCAGUGGCGAAGGCGGCUUUCUGGGCCUACCCUGACGCUGAGGCGCGAAAGCUAGGGGAGCGAACAGG